rnacentral:rRNA from 1 species
UACGGAGGAUGCAAGCGUUAUCCGGAAUGAUUGGGCGUAAAGCGUCCGCAGGUGGCUGUGUAAGUCUGCUGUCAAAGAGCGAAGCUCAACUUCGUAAAGGCAGUGGAAACUACAAGGCUAGAGUACGUUCGGGGCAGAGGGAAUUCCUGGUGUAGCGGUGAAAUGCGUAGAGAUCAGGAAGAACACCGGUGGCGAAAGCGCUCUGCUAGGCCGCAACUGACACUCAUGGACGAAAGCUAGGGGAGCGAAUGGG